CCUACGGGGGGCAGCAGUGGGGAAUAUUGGACAAUGGGGGGAACCCUGAUCCAGCCAUGCCGCGUGUGUGAAGAAGGCCCUCGGGUUGUAAAGCACUUUCAGUGAGGAAGAACGCCUGGUGGUUAAUACCCAUCAGGAAAGACAUCACUCACAGAAGAAGCACCGGCUAACGCCGUGCCAGCAGCCGCGGUAAUACGGAGGGUGCGGGCGUUAAUCGGAAUUACUGGGCGUAAAGCGCGCGUAGGUGGCUUGAUAAGCCGGUUGUGAAAGCCCCGGGCUCAACCUGGGAACGGCAUCCGGAACUGUCAAGCUAGAGUGCAGGAGAGGAAGGUAGAAGUCCCGGUGUAGCGGUGAAAUGCGUAGAGAUCGGGAGGAAUACCAGUGGCGAAGGCGGCCUUCUGGACUGCCACUGACACUGAGGUGCGAAAGCGUGGGUAGCAAACAGGAUUAGAUACCCCUGUAGUC
rnacentral:rRNA from 1 species